CGGAGAACAGGCUGCAAUGAGAAAGUGCACAGCGAGAUUUUCUUGGGUCAGUAAUAGCUUCCCGGGUAUGGAACAAUAUGAAGAUGUCCUUGCUU
ensembl:ncRNA R106.7 ncRNA